rnacentral:lncRNA from 1 species
UAAAAUCAAACACAACCAUUCAUUCAUUCUUACCUAAGGGCGAAAACCCUAAAAUGAGAGAUACCACAAAAGAUUAAACCUUCCAGAAAAAUACACCAAAAAGCAUUACAAACCCUAAAUCCUAAAAUCAAAACAAUGUAACUAAUAUUAACCAAGACCACCCUCGUUUUCUCCACCUUCGAUUACGCUUUCACCUUCAUCUUCACCUUUGCUAUCACCUUCGUC